rnacentral:rRNA from 1 species
GAUGAACGCUAGCGGGAGGCCUAACACAUGCAAGCCGAGCGGUAUUGUUUCUUCGGAAAUGCGAGAGCGGCGUACGGGUGCGUAACACGUGUGCAACCUGCCUUUAUCUGGGGGAUAGCCUUUCGAAAGGAAGAUUAAUACUCCAUAAUAUAUUGAACGGCAUCGUUUAAUAUUGAAAGCUCCGGCGGAUAGAGAUGGGCACGCGCAAGAUUAGCUAGUUGGUGAGGUAACGGCUCACCAAGGCGAUGAUCUUUAGGGGGCCUGAGAGGGUGAUCCCCCACACUGGCACUGAGACACGGACCAGACUCCUACGGGAGGCAGCAGUGAGGAAUAUUGGUCAAUGGGUGCAAGCCUGAACCAGCCAUCCCGCGUGAAGGACGACUGCCCUAUGGGUUGUAAACUUCUUUUGUAUAGGGAUAAACCUACCCUCGUGAGGGUAGCUGAAGGUACUAUACGAAUAAGCACCGGCUAACUCCGUG